CUUUAAUUAUUACUUAAUGAAAUCUAUAGAGCGGAAGAAAUGAGAUAAUUAGUAUUAAGACCUAAGAAAAUUUCAUUAUAAAGAUCUAAAUCCUUCUAAUUAACCAAGGAUUUCUAAAAGACAAGGUCAAAAAUGUCCUCACAAAUAAUUCGAAGAACAGGGGUAAAUAUGUAACUUCAGGUAUGGAGUAGACGAAUGGUGUCGCGACUUUUAAUGCAAGAAGCGCAACAGAACAUGGUCUGGUUGAGCCACAACAGAAAAAGAACCGCCUCGCACCGAGCGAGCUAUUCAUUUAGGGCUUUCGGCCGAUCUCGAUCUCUUCCUCUCCCUCAGUCUCCCUCUUUGGCACCCCGGCUCUCUCUGCCGUGUCUCUCUGAGGUCGUUAUGGCGAUUCCAGGCCCUUACUCCGGCGUCAGCACCCUCGCCUUCGUGGCUCGCGCCUCGGCUUUUACCUUCGGGACUGUCUACGGAAGCAUCAAGCUUUCCUAUCUCCGGG